AAUAGAUACCCGGUAGUCCACGCCGUAAACGAUGAGUGCUAAGUGUUAGAGGGUUUCCGCCCUUUAGUGCUGAAGUUAACGCAUUAAGCACUCCGCCUGGGGAGUACGGCCGCAAGGCUGAAACUCAAAGGAAUUGACGGGGGCCCGCACAAGCGGUGGAGCAUGUGGUUUAAUUCGAAGCAACGCGAAGAACCUUACCAGGUCUUGACAUCCUCUGACAACCCUAGAGAUAGGGCUUCUCCUUCGGGAGCAGAGUGACAGGUGGUGCAUGGUUGUCGUCAGCUCGUGUCGUGAGAUGUUGGGUUAAGUCCCGCAACGAGCGCAACCCUUGAUCUUAGUUGCCAUCAUUAAGUUGGGCACUCUGAGGUGACUGCCGGUGACAAACCGGAGGAAGGUGGGGAUGACGUCAAAUCAUCAUGCCCCUUAUGACCUGGGCUACACACGUGCUACAAUGGACGGUACAAAGAGCUGCAAGACCGCGAGGUGGAGCUAAUCUCAUAAAACCCGUUCUCAGUUCGGA
rnacentral:rRNA from 1 species